UCCCAGGCUGGUUAUUUCACAAUUAAAGAAAUAUUUUCCUCUCAUCUUUUCUGCAAGACUCGAACAAAGAAGUUGCUUGUCUCAGUUGAGACUGGCAUCUAUUUUGCAAACAUGAAGAGAACCAGCCUGAAGACAAAACUAACAUAGAAAGGAGGGCAAAGAACACUGCAAGACAAAGAUCCCAUCAUCUCAGAUUCCUCUUCUGGAAAACACCUCGUGGCCGAUAUUGGGCUGAGUAGAGUAGGGAGGAAGCCUGUCCCCAAGCAGGAGGUCUAGAUGCAACUCGAGGAAU
rnacentral:lncRNA from 1 species